GUGGUGCACUGGUAAAGCACUUGGCUGCUAACCAAAAGGUCAGUGGUUCUAAUCCACUC
rnacentral:tRNA from 1 species